AUGAACGCUGGCGGCGUGCCUAAUACAUGCAAGUCGAGCGAACGGACGAGAAGCUUGCUUCUCUGAUGUUAGCGGCGGACGGGUGAGUAACCCGUGGAUAACCUACCUAUAAGACUGGGAUAACUUCGGGAAACCGGAGCUAAUACCGGAUGAUAUUUUGAACCGCAUGGUUCAAAAGUGAAAGACGGUCUUGCUGUCACUUAUAGAUGGAUCCGCGCUGCAUUAGCUAGUUGGUAAGGUAACGGCUUACCAAGGCAACGAUGCAUAGCCGACCUGAGAGGGUGAUCGGCCACACUGGAACUGAGACACGGUCCAGACUCCUACGGGAGGCAGCAGUAGGGAAUCUUCCGCAAUGGGCGAAAGCCUGACGGAGCAACGCCGCGUGAGUGAUGAAGGUCUUCGGAUCGUAAAACUCUGUUAUUAGGGAAGAACAUAUGUGUAAGUAACUGUGCACAUCUUGACGGUACCUAAUCAGAAAGCCACGGCUAACUACGUG
rnacentral:rRNA from 1 species